rnacentral:rRNA from 1 species
GACGAACGCUGGCGGCGUGCUUAACACAUGCAAGUCGAACGGAAAGGCCCUGCUUUUGUGGGGUUCUCGAGUGGCGAACGGGUGAGUAACACGUGAGUAACCUGCCCUUGACUUUGGGAUAACUUCAGGAAACUGGGGCUAAUACCGGAUAGUAGCUCCUGCUGCAUGGUGGGGGUUGGAAAGUUUCGGCGGUUGGGGAUGGACUCGCGGCUUAUCAGCUUGUUGGUGGGGUAGUGGCUUACCAAGGCUUUGACGGGUAGCCGGCCUGAGAGGGUGACCGGCCACCUUGGGACUGAGAUACGGACCAGACUCCUACGGGAGGCAGCAGUGGGGAAUAUUGCACAAUGGGCGGGAGCCUGAUGCAGCAACGCCGCGGGCGGGAUGACGGCCUUCGGGUUGUAAACCGCUUUCGCCUGUGACGAAGCGUGAGUGACGGUAAUGGGUAAAGAAGCACCGGCUAACUACGUG